ACAUGCAGUCGAGCGGUAGAGAGAAGCUUGCUUCUCUUGAGAGCGGCGGACGGGUGAGUAAUGCCUAGGAAUCUGCCUAGUGGUGGGGGAUAACGUUCGGAAACGGACGCUAAUACCGCAUACGUCCUACGGGAGAAAGCGGGGGACCUUCGGGCCUCGCGCCAUUAGAUGAGCCUAGGUCGGAUUAGCUAGUUGGUGAGGUAAUGGCUCACCAAGGCGACGAUCCGUAACUGGUCUGAGAGGAUGAUCAGUCACACUGGAACUGAGACACGGUCCAGACUCCUACGGGAGGCAGCAGUGGGGAAUAUUGGACAAUGGGCGAAAGCCUGAUCCAGCCAUGCCGCGUGUGUGAAGAAGGUCUUCGGAUUGUAAAGCACUUUAAGUUGGGAGGAAGGGUAGUAACUUAAUACGUUGCUACUUUGACGUUACCGACAGAAUAAGCACCGGCUAACUUCGUGCCAGCAGCCGCGGUAAUACGAAGGGUGCAAGCGUUAAUCGGAAUUACUGGGCGUAAAGCGCGCGUAGGUGGUUCAGUAAGUUGGAAGUGAAAUCCCCGGGCUCAACCUGGGAACUGCUUUCAAAACUGCUGANCUAGAGUACGGUAGAGGGUGGUGGAAUUUCCUGUGUAGCGGUGAAAUGCGUAGAUAUAGGAAGGAACACCAGUGGCGAA
rnacentral:rRNA from 1 species